GGGUUUAAGUUGGUCUUUGUUCCUUUUGAGUUUUCGGGAGCUUUAUCAUCACUGCCUGUUUGUUAUAGUCACCGUCGCCGGAGUUCUGGUCACCGCUGCCGCUCGAGGUGGUUUCUGGGGCUGCCGACAAACCGGUUCAGCUACCGCCGCUAUUUUGUUUUCUUAGUUCGGUUCGAGUUCUGUAUGUUGAAUGUCGCUUUUAAGUUGCCUAAGUGCUGUGGAAGUGAUCAAAGACUGAGUUUGUGGAUUGCUGUUGAAUUCGGUUAAGAGAAAAGGUUUCGUGAC